AUGGAGCCCGGCCGGCUCAUCUUCAACACGUCGGGCUCCGGCAACGGACAGAUGCUCUUCAUGGACUGCGGCGCGGGCGGCAUCGCCGGCGCGGCCGGCAUGUUCCAUCGAGGGGUGAGACCGGUCCUCGGCGGCAUGGAAGAAGGGCGCGGCGUGAAGCGGCCCUUCUUCACCUCGCCGGAUGACAUGCUGGAGGAGGAGUACUACGACGAGCAGCUCCCGGAGAAGAAGCGGCGCCUCACGCCGGAGCAGGUCCACCUGCUGGAGAGGAGCUUCGAGGAGGAGAACAAGCUGGAGCCGGAGAGGAAGACGGAGCUGGCCCGCAAGCUCGGGCUGCAGCCACGGCAGGUGGCCGUCUGGUUCCAGAACCGCCGCGCCCGGUGGAAGACAAAGACGCUGGAGCGCGACUUCGACCGCCUCAAGGCGUCCUUCGACGCCCUCCGCGCCGACCACGACGCGCUCCUCCAGGACAACCACCGGCUCCGGUCACAGGUGGUAACGUUGACCGAGAAGAUGCAAGAUAAGGAGGCGCCGGAAGGCAGCUUCGGUGCAGCCGCCGACGCCUCGGAGCCGGAGCAGGCGGCGGCGGAGGCGAAGGCUUCCUUGGCCGACGCCGAGGAGCAGGCCGCGGCAGCGGAGGCGUUCGAGGUGGUGCAGCAGCAGCUGCACGUGAAGGACGAGGAGAGGCUGAGCCCGGGGAGCGGCGGGAGCGCGGUGCUGGACGCGAGGGACGCGCUGCUCGGGAGCGGAUGCGGCCUCGCCGGCGUGGUGGACAGCAGCGUGGACUCGUACUGCUUCCCGGGGGGCGCCGGCGGCGACGAGUACCACGAGUGCGUGGUGGGCCCCGUGGCGGGCGGCAUCCAGUCGGAGGAGGACGACGGCGCGGGCAGCGACGAGGGCUGCAGCUACUACCCCGACGACGCCGCCGUCUUCUUCGCCGCCGCGCAAGGGCACGGCCACCAUCGCACGGACGACGACGAUCAGCAGGACGACGGCCAGAUCAGCUACUGGAUGUGGAACUAG
rnacentral:rRNA from 1 species